rnacentral:rRNA from 1 species
AAAUUGAAGAGUUUGAUCAUGGCUCAGAUUGAACGCUGGCGGCAGGCCUAACACAUGCAAGUCGAGCGGAAACGAGUUAUCUGAACCUUCGGGGAACGAUAACGGCGUCGAGCGGCGGACGGGUGAGUAAUGCCUAGGAAAUUGCCCUGAUGUGGGGGAUAACCAUUGGAAACGAUGGCUAAUACCGCAUGAUGCCUACGGGCCAAAGAGGGGGACCUUCGGGCCUCUUGCGUCAGGAUAUGCCUAGGUGGGAUUAGCUAGUUGGUGAGGUAAGGGCUCACCAAGGCGACGAUCCCUAGCUGGUCUGAGAGGAUGAUCAGCCACACUGGAACUGAGACACGGUCCAGACUCCUACGGGAGGCAGCAGUGGGGAAUAUUGCACAAUGGGCGCAAGCCUGAUGCAGCCAUGCCGCGUGUGUGAAGAAGGCCUUCGGGUUGUAAAGCACUUUCAGUCGUGAGGAAGGUAGUGUAGUUAAUAGCUGCAUUAUUUGACGUUAGCGACAGAAGAAGCACCGGCUAACUCCGUGCCAGCAGCCGCGGUAAUACGGAGGGUGCGAGCGUUAAUCGGAAUUACUGGGCGUAAAGCGCAUGCAGGUGGUUUGUUAAGUCAGAUGUGAAAGCCCGGGGCUCAACCUCGGAAUAGCAUUUGAAACUGGCAGACUAGAGUACUGUAGAGGGGGGUAGAAUUUCAGGUGUAGCGGUGAAAUGCGUAGAGAUCUGAAGGAAUACCGGUGGCGAAGGCGGCCCCCUGGACAGAUACUGACACUCAGAUGCGAAAGCGUGGGGAGCAAACAGGAUUAGAUACCCUGGUAGUCCACGCCGUAAACGAUGUCUACUUGGAGGUUGUGGCCUUGAGCCGUGGCUUUCGGAGCUAACGCGUUAAGUAGACCGCCUGGGGAGUACGGUCGCAAGAUUAAAACUCAAAUGAAUUGACGGGGGCCCGCACAAGCGGUGGAGCAUGUGGUUUAAUUCGAUGCAACGCGAAGAACCUUACCUACUCUUGACAUCCAGAGAACUUUCCAGAGAUGGAUUGGUGCCUUCGGGAACUCUGAGACAGGUGCUGCAUGGCUGUCGUCAGCUCGUGUUGUGAAAUGUUGGGUUAAGUCCCGCAACGAGCGCAACCCUUAUCCUUGUUUGCCAGCGAGUAAUGUCGGGAACUCCAGGGAGACUGCCGGUGAUAAACCGGAGGAAGGUGGGGACGACGUCAAGUCAUCAUGGCCCUUACGAGUAGGGCUACACACGUGCUACAAUGGCGCAUACAGAGGGCGGCCAACUUGCGAAAGUGAGCGAAUCCCAAAAAGUGCGUCGUAGUCCGGAUUGGAGUCUGCAACUCGACUCCAUGAAGUCGGAAUCGCUAGUAAUCGUGGAUCAGAAUGCCACGGUGAAUACGUUCCCGGGCCUUGUACACACCGCCCGUCACACCAUGGGAGUGGGCUGCAAAAGAAGUAGGUAGUUUAACCUUCGGGGGGACGCUUACCACUUUGUGGUUCAUGACUGGGGUGAAGUCGUAACAAGGUAGCGCUAGGGGAACCUGGCGCUGGAUCACCUCCUUAUACGAUGAU